UACGUAGGGUGCAAGCGUUGUCCGGAAUUAUUGGGCGUAAAGAGCUCGUAGGCGGUCUGUCGCGUCGGCUGUGAAAACCUGGGGCUCAACCCCGGGCCUGCAGCCGAUACGGGCAGACUAGAAUUCGGUAGGGGAGACUGGAAUUCCCGGUGUAGCGGUGAAAUGCGCAGAUAUCAGGAGGAACACCGGUGGCGAAGGCGAGUCUCUGGACAUUUCCUGACGCUGAGGCACGAAAGCCAGGGGAGCAAACGGG
rnacentral:rRNA from 1 species